rnacentral:misc_RNA from 1 species
GAUGAAGAACGCAGCGAAAUGCGAUAAGUAAUGUGAAUUGCAGAAUUCAGUGAAUCAUCGAAUCUUUGAACGCACAUUGCGCCCCCUGGUAUUCCGGGGGGCAUGCCUGUCCGAGCGUCAUUACAACCCUCAAGCCCUCGGCUUGGUGUUGGACGGUUUGGUGGAGGCCCCCUCGGGGGCUCCUGCCCCUCCCAAAGACAAUGACGGCGGCCUCGUUGGACCCCCGGUACACUGAGUUCUUCACGGGACACGUAUCGGACACAUGGGUUUACGGGACACGGUCUGCCUCCCCUCAGGGAGAAUCUUUCUAAGGUUGACCUCGGAUCAGGUAGGGAUACCCGCUGAACUUAAGCAUAUCAAUAAGCGGAGGA